rnacentral:lncRNA from 1 species
AAUUUCUUUUAAAAAUAUUUGUACAGUCUGUCUGAUGGGAUUGACGAAAUUUUAAUUUCUCCGGAGAGUCAGAAAUUGGCGGGAACAGAGAGUCAUUAACCGAUGGGUUUUGUCAACGUACGGUCUUUUAAUUUCACCGUGCAGUAUCAUACCCUCCAGAGAGAUCACUUUCGAUUUCUAGAGCUGAAAUCUGCAAUCUUUGAAUCUUGGAAAGAAGUUAAGAUAAACCGAUGGUUUCUCGCAGAUUCAGAAAGCUAAGCCUCACCUUAGUUCCAAUAUCAAAGCCAUGAAUCAGAGGAUCGAUAAACCGAAGAAAAUAAUAAUAAUAAUAAUAAUAAUAAUAAUAAUAAUAAUAAUAAUAAUACGAGUGAAUCCUAGUUUUGCAAGGUUUGCAAUCUGAAUCGGGGCCAGGGACAGCGCCACAAUUACUUCCAUAACCACAAGGUUUUCUCUCUGCUUUCCUUUCGAUUCUUUAGCAAAUUUGGUUCCUUCAUAAAAACCCUCGGGGUCUUCGUCGCCGGAAAUCGCUUCUGGUGCGUUCUCUGAGAUGCAGAUGAGGUAUGCUGCUCCUUCGCCUGGUCAGUAUUUAUUGAUCUGCUUCAAAUGAAGAUUUCAAUUUUAUUUUUCGUUUUUCUUUUUCAAAUCCAUGUUAUUCGUCACUUCGCUCAAGUCUUAACCUUAUUCUGAGAUUGUAAUAUGUGCAGUAGUUUUAUUAUUAUUUGGCAGUUUUCACAAUUAUAUUGAUUUCUACCAAACUGUGGAUGGUUUAGACUUUAGCAUAUCUUUCACAAAGAUAUGGAUUGGGUUCAGUAUGGGCUUAGUUUCGUAAAAUAUUCUGUUGGAAGCCGAAUUAAUGAAAUGAAAGAUUCUCUAUGUUUUACUAUUUUUAUUUAUUUUCUUUGAAUAUCUUCGUUUUGCUGUCGCUUUUUGAGUGGUACUUCAAUUACUCUUCUUAUAUAUAUUUCUUUCCUUCCCGGAAAGAAAAAGCAGUGUUCAUCAAUAAAUCAUCUGGCAAGUGUGGAUCAUCUGAAGAACUUGAAGUACUUCCAUUGGAAAUGUGGUGGUGAGAUGGAUCUUAUGGAUGCUUAUUAGACUAUUUUGGAAUCUGAUGUAGCGAAGAUAUUGUCAUCUCUUCCUAUUUUCAAAAAGAAUGUCUGUUGUAUGGUGGUUGCCUGCAAUUUAUGUGGUUUAAAUAGGAUGGUUUGGUCGUUGAAGCACUCUGAAGAGAAAAGAAAAUGUUUUUGAUACUUGUGUAACAUUUCUGUUUCCAUGAUGAGAGAAAUAUAGAAAAUGAUACAAUUACAUAAAGGAAUAAGAUACAAAAUGGUUUAUUGACUAGUGUUUAUUUUGGUAAUUGUAGCGGAAAGGAAGCACCAAUAACUGGAGAAUGAAGAUAUAUCGUCCAAUAAUGGAUCUAAUGUGCUUCAAAUUAGACCUUCAAAUAAUAUCCAAAAUGAACUCAACCAGAAAAAUACAAAUACCUACAAAAGGCUAUAUUUUUUUACCCUACUAAAAUCGGAUCUUUCUAGUGGAGUUAUGCCAUUAAAUAAUCGUCAGAGAUCCCAUUCAGCACUUUCUGCAGCUUCGAAUGUUGGACCAUUUGUACAUGAUUUCGUCUCUUCUAUUCCUGCGGAUGGAUGGAAUCCAAAUGAUUUAACAGGUAUGGUUAAUUGUUUGUUUGAUAUCCUAUUUGUUCAAUGAACUUAUUUGCUUGCUUUAUGUUUAGUAUUUUUUUGUGAGGUUAUACUCAAGAAAAAUUACCCGAGGUUGAAAGUCAUUCUGAGGUGCUGUUAAAAUAGAGUCUUACAGUGAAAGCACCAAAUUCUGCAGUAUGUUGUGUGGCAUGCGAUAUUUUCCUUUCUCAUGCUAGAGUUGUUGUUGAUAAUGCCUUAGUUGCAGAAACACAAAAAAUAGGUAAAAAAAAAAAAGAUCCUAGAAAAUAAAUUAGUUAUGGCUGCACUUUUAAAAGCAUUUUUUGUUAAAAUUUCAUGUAUAAAUGCAUGUUACUAUCAAUGAAGUUGAUGACAGUAGUCCCAAUUAUGCUUCAUCUUUAUUGCUUUGUUUUCUUCCUUUGAAAAGCAAAAGUUGUUAAUAUAAGAUUAUUGAAAAUGCAUACCUGUUUCAUUUUACCAACUAUAUUGUAUUCUUUUAUUUUCCAAUUACAUGAUUUUCUGAAUAUGUAGAUAGUGGGCCUAUUAUAACCUGCUACAGCAACUUAUAAUUGCUUCUCAUUGAGUUCUGAAAGUCUUGAGAAUCUUUGUCCCACAUUGGGAACAUAUUAAAUGAAAUAGCAAAAGAUAAGUGGUUGGUUGCAACAUUAAAGUGGCCAAGUUAUUUUGAAGGUAAAACAACUUAGUCACUUAUAUAAAGCCUUUAUAAAAAUGAAAAAAAUGAACUAGUGUCUAAUGUGCUCAACACUUUUAUAUCGUAGCCUGGUUGAGGUUGUGGUUUCAACUGCCUAUAAGGCUGUAUAAUUGGGUCCAUUUUGGGUUAUUACCAACUAAUUGUCACGUGACAACAAUGUAAUUGCACUUGAGAUGAGAGUGCUGCGAAUCUUUGUCCCACUUUGAGAAAAUAUAAAAUGAAAUGGCAAAUAAUUGGGUCCAGUUUGGGUUAUUACCAACUAAUUAUCAAGUGAUAACAAUGUAAUUGCACUUGAGAUGGGAGUGUUGGGAAUCUUUGUCCCACAUUGAGAAAAUAUAAAAUGAAAUGGCAAAAUAUUUGUGGUUGGAUUGGUUAAUCAUUUUGAUAUAUAAAGAAACUUAAUUAUUUAUAUAAGCCCAUAUUAAAAAUGAAUUGAUGUCUAAUAUGCCCAACAGUAGUGGAUUGAGUUCUCAAGAAUUGAUUAAAUUUUCAUGUGGAGUACUUCUGUAUUGUCUGGUAUAAAUUUGGUGCCAAUUCCCCUAGAUCGGUUUCUUUUGGACCUUAGAUGAUUGGGUGGAAACUCUCAACUGCACAUUUUACAGCAAUGGAGUUGCAAAACAUGUAGUCUUCUCCUAAAAUAUAGCUCCUUCCUGGACAUGGAGGGAACAGUAAUACACCUCUGCAAUGAUAAGAAUCACUAAUUUGAGGUGGAGUGCCAAUGAAAAUCUUUUGCUUCUUUGAUGACAAGGUUUUAUUUGGGAUUGGUUUCAACAGUAUUAAUUUGUAGAACUGUUUCACAUUGGGUUUAUAUAAAUGAAUUUUCUCAGCCUUAUGCAUUUUUAUGUUUUCUCUCCAACACAGAGAAGGGAUGUAAGUGAAUGGUAGUCAAGGAUGUAUGGUGAUCAUCAUGCAGAUGAAUGAUGCUGCAGGUGACAGAUGUGGUCAGAGGUUGGUAUGCAUAUUUAUCUCCAUUUGAGAUCAUUUGAAUUGGAUAUUCCAGUUGAAGGUGAAAAGGGAUAUCGGUGAACUUCAGUCUAGAAAUGGUAAGUAAGCUGUUGUGUAUGUGUUGUAAUCAUGACAGUGCUGGAUUUGUUGGCUGUUGAUACUUGAUACUUGUUCAGUGUGCUGAGAUGAAACCAUCCCAUAUCUCAUGUUACAGAAAAGAGAUGAUUGAUUUUGUUAAAGUUGCAAUUUACUGAAGCUAGGAAUAUAUGAGCAAUUAUCACACUCACUAUGUGAAAUUCGUGGCAAUAUGCUUCGGUACUCAGAUGUUAUAGUAGCCAUGAGACAUGCUACACAGUACACACACACUAGCUAUGUGAGGGUUUGACAAUUUUAUUGUGCCGUUGUUGAGAAUUACCUUAAACAUGUUAGGGGAUAUUAAGAAUUCAUUUUAAGUUAAGUUUGAUAUAUUUUACUCAUAAGAACUCCAAAACAAUUAAACAACUUUUUUCAACAGCAUUCUAAUUGGUGUUUUUUCUCUAGUAAUUUUUUUGACCACUCAACAUAGUUCCAAAUGGAGUCUAAGUAUGAUACCAUGCGAAUACUAAACAUAGAUUUUUUUAUAUAAUUUACUUGAACAGAUGAUUCAUUUUUAGAUAAAAAAAAUUGGGGCAAUGAAUCGUACAAUACAAGAAACUGCUAUUUUAUUUAAAUGGUUCUUUCGUUUGACAAACCUGUAAAAUGUGCAAUUCCCAGUGCUAUCACCUACACGUAAAUCUACUCACUAAAAGCUAUGGACCGGCAUAUAGUUCAUGGCUGAAAUUAUUUUUCUAUAAGGAUUUACAUGAUUAUAUGAAGAUAUAUACUUUUUUUUGUUCUUGAAAAUUUUCUCUAAUACAUGGCAGUGAUUUGAUUUUGUGUGGAUCUUGUCCCUUGACUGCCAUUAUCUUGGCUGUUAUGCAAAAAAAAUUGUUGGCAUCUGAACACAUGGCUUUCAUGAUGCACUUGGGCACAUCAAAGAAUGUUCAUGAAAUGAUGGGACUUGAUUCUUUAUGAGACACCUCAGAAAUGAAAGCAUCAGUCUGUGCAAAACCUCGUAGAAUUUGACUUACCGGUGACCCUAAAAUUCCAG